CCUACGGGUGGCAGCAGUGAGGAAUAUUGGUCAAUGGACGAGAGUCUGAACCAGCCAAGUAGCGUGAAGGAUGACUGCCCUAUGGGUUGUAAACUUCUUUUAUAUGGGAAUAAAAUGUUCCACGUGUGGGAUUUUGUAUGUACCAUAUGAAUAAGGAUCGGCUAACUCCGUGCCAGCAGCAGCGGUAAUACGGCGGAUCCGAGCGUUAUCCGGAUUUAUUGGGUUUAAAGGGAGCGUAGGUGGAUUGUUAAGUCAGUUGUGAAAGUUUGCGGCUCAACCGUAAAAUUGCAGUUGAAACUGGCAGUCUUGAGUACAGUAGAGGUGGGCGGAAUUCGUGGUGUAGCGGUGAAAUGCUUAGAUAUCACGAAGAACUCCGAUUGCGAAGGCAGUUCACUGGACUGCAACUGACACUGAGGCUCGAAAGUGUGGGUAUCAAACAGGAUUAGAUACCCUUGUAGUC
rnacentral:rRNA from 1 species